CAAGCACGCAAAAGAAAACUGCUUUAAGUCGAUUAGUUAAAGAUAAUGUUGCACUCAUAGUGGUUCUUGAAGCAAAGUUUAGCAAUCAGGCGGGAGCUGAAAAUCUAGGGAAACGACAACUACUUUGUGUGGCAAAUACACAUGUUAACGUCCACCAAGAUCUAAAGGAUGUCAAGCUUUGGCAGGU